rnacentral:rRNA from 1 species
AUGGCGGAGGUGGCCCCACCACCGCCGCCGCCCCAGAUCUUCGGUGGUAACACCUUCGAGUUCGGUAGCAGCAGCGGCACCGCCAACGACGGGAUGGAGUUCCAGUUUCUGGGGCCUCCACCACAGGAGCAGGGGUUCGAGGCCCGGAUGGAUAUGCAGCAGAUGGUGAUGGCGCCGCUGCCUCCGUCUCACGUGGUCGCCGCCGGGAUGGAUGUGCAGGACAUGCCUCCGCCGCCGGGGUUGGCCGCCGGGAUGGAUCUGGAGCAGAUGCAGAUGACGAUGCCUAAGCCGCUGGGGUUCGACGCAGGGCUAGACAAGGAGAUAGAUCAAUGGCUUGAUGUGAUGCUGCCGCGUCCGGAGUUCACUGCCGGGAUGGAGACGGUGCAGCAGGGGCUCCAUCAACCCAACGCCGGCUUCCCGUACUGA